GUUUACUCCGUGCAGCUCGAGCCCUCGCUCGGAGGCUGUUUAUUAUGAGAGCUCGCGCUGAGCGAGGAGCUGGGUUACAGCAUGUGGAUGGAGCUGAAGAACAGGACCAGCACAGUUUAUGACGAGCUGCGAGACGGAAACCUGUCUCAGGUGCGAUAGCUGCUGCGCUGUUCAUAAGCUUCAUUCUGGCUCUCUAUACAGUUCUGUGGAAAUGCAUGGUCUCCCCACCCAGAAGGUGAGAGAGAAGAUGAUAUAUAGGUGGAAUCCUUGUUUUUUCACUAAUUAGGUUAAUAUAUAUGCAAAGUAUGAUAUAUGCAAAAUAUGAGCUGUGAACAAUAAUUCAGUUAAAAUACUCAAUCUAAGUGUAAACUGGGAGGUCUUCACUGUGGAAAAUCCUAAAGCAAGCAUAUUGUCUAUAAUACCCUGAAAAAAUCUCCAAAAUGAUAUAUUUACAAGACAUUUUUUAUUUUAAUUGUAAUAAUAUACAGCUCUGGAAAAAAAGAGACCACUUCAGUUUCUGAAUCAAUUUCUCUGAUUUCGCUAUUUAUAUGUAUACGCUUGAGUAAAAUGAACUACGGACAACACUUCUCCCAAAUUCCAAAUAAAAGCAUUUAUUUGUAGAAAAUAAGAAAUGGC
rnacentral:lncRNA from 1 species